rnacentral:ncRNA from 1 species
UAUCCCUGCCUCGCAUCCGGGGCAAACGGUAAGAUUGUUCACCUACUAACAGGGAACGUGAGCUGGGUUUAGACCGUCGCGAGACAGGUUAGUUUUAUCCUACUGAUAUGCAAUGUAUGGAUUCGUCGUGACAGUAAUUCAACUCAGUACGAGAGGAACCGUUGAUUCGCAUGACUGGUAAAUUCGGUUGCCCGACCGGGCAUUGCUGAGAAGCUGUCAUGCGUGGGAUAACGGCUGAACGCCUCUAAGCCGGAAGCCCCGCUGGAUAGAUCGACGAAAUGUAGUCGGCUGCGUGAUUGGAUUUGACAAUAGACCGCGCAAGCGGUCCAGAUCAUGGCUUGAGUGCAGAAUGCCGUGCAGUCUGGAAGUGGGCUGUACGGUAGCGCUUGAAUGGAAAGGAACUGUGUGGCCGAUGGGAAUCCCUUGUAGACGACUUGAUUUGAACGGGGUAUUGUAAGCGCGAGAGUAGGCUUGUCCUGCGAUCCGCUGAGAUUCAUCCCUAGUUCUUGAAGAUUUGU